rnacentral:lncRNA from 1 species
GAGAGAAGGAAGGACCGCCUAGGUCCUGGUGUGUUGCCAGGCAGAAUGAGAAGCUCACACUUGGCCCGGUCUCUCUCCCUUGCCUUCAUAUCAAGGCCACACUCUCUGGGCCUUCAUUAGCACAAGAGGUGGCGUAAAUCUGUAUCUAACCCUGAAGUCAAAGGUAGGAGAGUUCAGGGGCUGAGGACGUAGCUCAGUUGAUAGAGUGCUUGCCUAGCAUGCAUGAAGUCCUGGGUUCCAUCCCAAACAAAGCAUAAAACCGAGCAUGCUAGUGCAUGCCUGUAAUUCCAGCACUCUGGAGGUAGAGGCAGGAGGACCGGAAGUUCAAGGUCAUCUUAGGCCACGUAGUGAGUUCGAAUCCAACCUGGGGUACAGGAGAACCUGUCUCAAAAGUGAGAGACUGGGAAUUCAGGUCAGAAGAUAAGAAAGAACACGGGUAGAAAGCAGCAGCGGAAUUUUUUUUUUUUUUUUAAGCAUGGGCCCAAACAAUGCAGUCAGAUGACCGAACAGGUCAAGGGCUACUGGGAGACAGGUCCAGGCUGCUGUCUGGGUUAUGGGCCAAACGAUAGCUCACGGUCACAAGCUAACUAACACGCGGUGCACUUCGGAGCCUGCCCAAGGGAUGCCUCCUUCCCAGGCUUUGACGGGGCAGGUUUGGUGGAGGCUUUCAGAACUGGGGUGGUAGAUUCCAGCCACAGCCCUCAGCCUGGAACAUGAUGUGAAUGAGGUGGUCCCCCCUCCAGCCCUCUUCUGCGGCACCCAGCCCCGCCCACCCCCCUGCUGGGGCCCUCAGGGAUCUCGAAGUCUUCCUUGGCCCAACAGGACAGAUGCCCUGGGCUCUGGUGGGGGGAGGAGUCUGGGGUCUGAUCCGGGGUCCCACCUUCUCUCAGUUUCCCCUUCCCUCUUUCUCCGCAGUGCGGGAAAACAUUUGGACUGUAAUAAAUACACUAGGUGCCCGGG